rnacentral:rRNA from 1 species
CCUACGGGUGGCAGCAGUGGGGGAUAUUGCACAAUGGGGGGAACCCUGAUGCAGCGACGCCGCGUGGGGGAUGAAGGUUUUAGGAUUGUAAACUCCUUUUGUGAGAGAAGAUAAUGACGGUAUCUCACGAAUAAGCACCGGCUAACUACGUGCCAGCAGCCGCGGUAAUACGUAGGGGGCAAGCGUUAUCCGGAUUUACUGGGUGUAAAGGGGGCGCAGACGGCGAUGCAAGCCAGGAGUGAAAGCCCGGGGCCCAACCCCGGGACUGCUCUUGGAACUGCGUGGCUUGAGUGCAGGAGGGGCAGGCGGAAUUCCUGGUGUAGCGGUGAAAUGCGUAGAUAUCAGGAGGAACACCGGUGGCGAAGGCGGGCUGCUGGACUGCAACUGACGUUGAGGCCCGAAAGCGUGGGGAGCAAACAGGAUUAGAUACCCGAGUAGUC